UGUUGGACGGCGGUCGGGCGGGAGGCGUUAGCUCGCUCGCCACGGUCCAUCGCU
rnacentral:pre_miRNA from 1 species